UAAAAAAAAUAGAUUUAAAAUUUUGACAUUAUUUCAAAAUUUUGAUGUAAAUAUUUAAUAUUUAAUAUUUAAUUUGAAUUUAAAUUAAUAUAUUAUAAAGAUAAUGUUAGUAUAUUAAUUUGAUUAUGUUUUUAUAUUCAUCUGAACCAAACACUGACAAUGGAAAUGAUUUAUUUCGAUUCUGAUUCAGUUGAUGAACCAAAUGGAAUUAGGUAAUGAGUCAUUCCGAUUCCGAUUCCAGCUUAUUUUGAUUCCGAUUCCGAUUCCGACUCCAACUUCGAACCAAACACGCCCAUAGAGUUAGACUGGGCUACUAUUAGUAGCAAAAUUCCAUUGUUGCUACUAGUUUUUUAGCCUUUGGAUCAACUCUUUUCAUCAUUUGUAACCAUUGAAUUAAAUACUAUAACCCAGUGGGGACCACUCAACCCUAGGGGGACCACUCAACUCUAACUAACUAAUAUCAUCCUAACCUUACAAUUUUUCAUCCAAGGGUUAAAAACUUGAUAGCAAAAAGAGGGUUUUACUAUUAAUAGUAUUCCAGUCUAAUUAUAUAUAUAUAUAUAUNAUUGAGUGAUUUUAGUCAAGUUAUAAUUUAAUGAUUUUAAAAAGUUGUUAGUUAAAAAAAUUGUAAUACUUAAUGGUUAAUCGAUUAUGAAAAGUUU
rnacentral:lncRNA from 1 species